rnacentral:lncRNA from 1 species
UUUUAACCUUCCCAGCAUGAUCAUUGGUUCAGCGGUUACUUAAAUAUCCCAACCCAUGCAUACAAAUUUGCUUAUUUGUUGUUUCUACUUCCUUCAGCGAGAACUUAAAUUAUGUCUUAUGAUAGUCUUUUUAGCAUAUGUCUUAUGAUAGUCUUUUUAGCAUUUGUUUUACUAAAUUAUGUACCCAUGUUUUGUGUUGUUACUUGAGUCACCAUUUUAGUGUUGGCUUGUGAUGCAGCAUUCUUUCUCAACUCGAG